rnacentral:rRNA from 1 species
CCUACGUGAGGCAGCAGUAGGGAAUCUUCCACAAUGGGCGAAAGCCUGAUGGAGCAACGCCGCGUGGGUGAAGAAGGUCUUCGGAUCGUAAAACCCUGUUGUUAGAGAAGAAAGUGCGUGAGAGUAACUGUUCACGUUUCGACGGUAUCUAACCAGAAAGCCACGGCUAACUACGUGCCAGCAGCCGCGGUAAUACGUAGGUGGCAAGCGUUAUCCGGAUUUAUUGGGCGUAAAGGGAACGCAGGCGGUCUUUUAAGUCUGAUGUGAAAGCCUUCGGCUUAACCGGAGUAGUGCAUUGGAAACUGGGAGACUUGAGUGCAGAAGAGGAGAGUGGAACUACAUGUGUAGCGGUGAAAUGCGUAGAUAUAUGGAAGAACACCAGUGGCGAAAGCGGCUCUCUGGUCUGUAACUGACGCUGAGGUUCGAAAGCGUGGGUAGCAAACAGGAUUAGAUACCCUUGUAGUC